rnacentral:lncRNA from 10 species
CAGUUUCAUUGCAGACUCUCCUGCUUCUUGCUGUUCCCGACGCGAUGAGCCUGGAUUGGACCCGGCCAGGAUUUUGUGGUUGUCCUUUGCCAUGACUGGGUUCCAGGAGGAAGCUGCCCCUCUCCACUCUGACCUCCUUGGCCAUAGAGGCCAUGAGUGCCCCGGGCAGGAGUCAGGCCAUACACCUCACCGGAUGGGAAGUGCCUAUCGCGGGCGCUGGAGAUCAGGAGGCGUCUGCCACACAGUCCUACACUAUGGCUGGAGCUGAGCAUGGAUGGAAGAGAUGGCCACACAUCCACACUCCACACCUGCAUGCUUCCUGCCACUGUGGAACCACUGAAAUGCCAAGGUCUCUUUUGAAAUUACCACUGGAGUCCCAGACUUCAGGCCCUGCAGGCAUUUGAGUUUUCUCUGUCUUCAUUCCCUUGAUAACCAACCCAGGGACGAUUCUAAGUCAGGUGCUCUGGGGCCAGACCAAUCACUGGUGUGUUUUCAAAGAUUCUCAGCUAAUUCCAAUGUGUAGUCAAGAUCGAGGGCCGCUGCUUUAGGAUAUGACAUCAGAAGACAUCAGAUUGAGGACCAGUUCUGCUAAACUACUAAUAAACCAUUUUUCCUGGUUAUCAUUGUAAGACUCAAAUUAACCAUGAAUGUACAAUCACUUUCUGUCCUGCACGGCCUCCAGGAGCCUGACUUAUGGAUUCCUUCAAUAAUGUUGGAAUGCUGCGCCUGAGGAAAGUGAGGGGCUGGCAGAUCCACUCAGCUACUAUUCUGUCAUGACUUUCAGUUCAGCCUCAGCUUCCAAGUUUGCUUGUCUCACCAAGGGUCUGUGAAAAACUAGCCUCCAAAAAUUAGCCAGAAAAGCUGGAGAAGAUCCUGUAUUUGAAAGCGUCAUGAUAUGGUUUGGCUUUGUCCUCACCCAAUUCUCAUCUUGAACUGUAAUCCCCAUAAUACCCAUGUGUCUAGGGAAACACCUGGUCAGAGGUGGUUGGCUUAUGGGGAAUAUUUCCCCCAUGCUGUUCUCAUGCUAGUGAGUUCUCAGGAGACCUGAUGGUUUUAUAAGGAGUUCUUCCCCCUUCACUCCUCACUCCUCUCUCCUGCUGCCAUCUGAGAAGGUCCAAGCUUAUCUUUCACCUUCCCCCAUGAUUGUAAGUUUCCUGAGGCCUCCCCAGCCAGGUGGAACUGUGAGUCAAUUAAACCUCUUUCCUUUAUAAAUUACCCAGUCUCAGGUAUUUCUUUACAGCAGUGUGAAAAUGGACUAAUAAGGUAAAUUGGUACCAAGAUUGGAGUGCUACUAUAAAUAUACUUGAAAAUGUGGAAGUGACUUUGGAACUCGUUAAUGGACAGAGGCUGUAACAGUCAGAGGGCUCAGAAGAAGACAAGAAGAUGUGGGAAAGUUUGGAGUUUCCUAGAGACUACGAAAAUGCUGGUAGUGAUGUGAACAAUGAAGUCCAGGCUGAGGUGCUCUCAGAUGGAGAUGAGGAACUUAUUGGGAACUGGAGCAAAGGUGACGAUGGAGAUGAGGAACCUGUUGGGAACUGGAGCAAAAGUGACUCUUGCUCUGCUUCAGCAAAGAGACUGCUGGCAUUUUGCCCCUGCCCUGGGAUCUGUGGAACUUACAACUUGAUGGAGAUGCUUUAGGGUAUCUGGUGGAAGAAAUUUCUAAGCAGCAGAGCACUCAAAAUGUGACCUAGGUGCUCUUAAAAGCAUGCAGUUAUAUUCAUUCACAAAGAGAUGGUUUGGAAUUGGAAUGUAUGCUUAAAAGGGAAGCAGAGCAUAAAAGUCUGGAAAAUUUGCAGCCUAAAGAUGUGAUAGAAGAGAAAAACCCAAUUUCUGGGGAGAAACUCAGGCUGGCUGCAGAGAUUUGCAUAAGUAACAAGGAGCUAAAUGUUAAUUGUCAAGAAAAUGGGCAAAAUGUCUCCAAGGCAUGACAGAGACCUUCACAGCAGCACCCCAUCCAUUGCAGGCUCAGAGGCUUAGAAAGAAAAAAUGGGUCUUGCUGCUUCAUGCAUUCUUGGGACUUGGUGGCCUGCAUCCCAGCCAUGGUUAAAAGGGGCCAGUUUAUAGCUCAGGCCAUUGCUUCAGAAGGGUGUAAGCCCCAAGCCUUGGCAGCUUCCACGCGGUGUUGGUCCUGUGGGUGCACAGAAGUCAAGAAUUAAGAUUUGGAAACCUCCACCUAGAUUUCAGAGGAUGUAUAGAAAUGCCUGGGUGUCCAGGCAAGAGUUUGCUGCAGGGAUGGAGCCCUCAUGGAGAACCUCUGCUAGGGCAGUGCAGAGGGAAAUGGAGUUGGAGGAAAAGGGGUUGGAGUCCCCACACAGAGUCUCUACUGGGGCACUGCCUAGUGGAGCUGUGAGAAGAGGGCCACCAUCCUCCAAACCCCAGAUUGGUAGAUCUACCAACAACUUGUACCAUGCACCUGGAAAAGCCACAGACACUCAACACAAGCCAAUGAAAGCAGCCAGGAAGUGGGCUGUACCCUCCAAAGCCACAGGGCAGAGCUGCCCAAGACCAGGGAGCCCACCUCUUGCAUCAGUGUGACCUGCAAGUGAGACCUGGAGUCAAAGAACACUAUUUAGGAGCUUUAAGAUUCAAUGACUGCCCUGUUGGAUUUUGGACUUGCAUGGGGCCUGUAGCCUCUUUGUUUUGGCCAAUUUCUCCCAUUUGGAAUGGGAGCAUUUAUCCAAUGCCUGUACCCCCAUUGUAUCUUGAAAGUAACAAACUUGCUUUUGGUUUUACAGGCUCAUAGGCGGAAGGGACUUGCCUUGUCUCAAAUGAGACUCUAGACUUAUACUUUUGGGUUAAUGCUGGAAUGAGUUAAGGAUUUGGAGGACUGUGUUUCAAAAUGUGAGGACAUGAGAUUUGGGAGAGGCCAGGGGCAGAAUUAUAUGAUUUGCCUUUGUUCCCACCCAAUUCUCAUCUUGAAUUGUAAUCUUUAUAAUCCCCAUGUGCCCAGGGAGAGACCUGGUGGGAGGUGAUUGGAUCAUGGGGUCGGUUCCCCCCAUGCCAUUCUCGUGAUAGUGAGUGAGUUCUCCCGAGAUCUGAUGGUUUUAUAAGGGGCUCCGCCCCAUUCCCUCUUCACUCUCUCCUGCUGGCACGUGAAGAAGGCCCAAGCUUGCUUCCCUCUGCCUUCUGCCAUGAUUGUUAAGUUUCCUGAGGCCUCCCCAGCAUGUAGAACUGGGAGUCAAUUAAAUCUCUUUGCUUUAGAAAUUACCCAUUUCCAGGUACUUCUUCAUAGCAGUGUGAAAACAGACUAAUACACUCACCAAACUACUUGAAGAGAAUUCCAAAUGCAAAAAUCUUCCCAAGCUUUUGAACAGCUCCUGCAGACAGAGAGAGCUAGGAAAGGCUGGUCCCUCAGGCCCAUCACUGCUGAGGUGUGUGAGGGGCCACUCAGCAUCUCCCAUGCCCGUGCCAACCUGGACCCUGACAGACAGGCUGUGAAGAUGGAGCUCGCUCACCUCUGGCCAGGUCAGUCAGCGGUUGAAGGCAGCCCUCCAGACAGCAGCAUUCACUCAAGGACAGAUGUGGGCAGUGCCCCAGAACUUACCAUGUGCCCCCUCAAUAUUUAAAACUGAUCCAGUGAUACACACAUUUUUUCCUGAUCUUGAAUUUUACCACAAACUGGAAAAUAACUGGAAAGUUGUAUUUUUGUUCAGAGGUUCUCUCUCUCUUUCAGGGCUGUCAGGGUGAUUUCUUUACCACUAUUCCCAGACUAUAAGGCUGUUUUGAUAUGUAAAUGCACUUUGUCAUUAUUUUAGAUAGUAUCAGGGUUCACUCAGCCAACACUGAUGAAGGCACCAAGAGUUAAGUCCCUGCAGUUCCUGGUGCCGUGCUGAGGGGAGGAUGAUGCUGCUGGAGCUGACCCUGCAAGGUGCUCUUGGAUCUAGAAAGGAGAAGCCUCUCUCCUGGCCUCAGGCCCAGUUGGUGGCUCUCAAAUCUAGAAAAGAGGGGCCUCUCUCCCAGCCACAGGGCCAGCUGGUGCCACAUCCCUCAAAUCUAGAAGAAGAGGCCUCUCUCCUGGCCUCAGGCCCACUCAGUGGCGCUCAGAUCUAGAAGGGAGAGGCCUGUCUCCCGGCCACAGGGCCAGCCAGUGCCCUAUGUUUUGGAAAACUGGAUGCUGGGGUCCUGCUUUCAUUUCUCCAAUCAUGUCAGUCCCAAACAUCCAAAUCAUUUUUGGCCUUCAACCACCAAGGUGAAACUCUAGCUCAUAUUCC